GGCAACCCUGACGGAGCAACGCCGCGUGUGGGAGGACGGCCUUCGGGUUGUAAACCACUUUUCUCAGGGAAGAAGGACUGACGGUACCUGAGGAAUAAGCCUCGGCUAACUCCGUGCCAGCAGCCGCGGUAAGACGGAGGAGGCAAGCGUUAUCCGGAAUUAUUGGGCGUAAAGCGUCCGUAGGUGGUGAAUCAAGUCUGCUGUCAAAGCGUGGGGCUUAACUCCAUAGAGGCAGUGGAAACUGGUUGACUAGAGUGCGGUAGGGGUCGAGGGAAUUCCCAGUGUAGCGGUGAAAUGCGUAGAUAUUGGGAAGAACACCAGUGGCGAAAGCGCUCGACUGGGUCGCACCUGACCCUCAGGGACGAAAGCUAAGGUAGCG
rnacentral:rRNA from 1 species